UACGUAGGGGGCAAGCGUUGUCCGGAAUCAUUGGGCGUAAAGAGCGUGUAGGCGGCCCGGUAAGUCCGCUGUGAAAGUCCAGGGCUCAACCCUGGGAUGCCGGUGGAUACUGUCGGGCUCGAAUCCGGGAGAGGGAUGUGGAAUUCCAGGUGUAGCGGUGAAAUGCGUAGAUAUCUGGAGGAACACCGGUGGCGAAGGCGGCAUCCUGGACCGGUAUUGACGCUGAUGCGCGAAAGCCAGGGGAGCAAACGGG
rnacentral:rRNA from 1 species